UUGCCAGACUCCUACGGGAGGCAGCAGUGAGGAAUAUUGGUCAAUGGCCGGGAGGCUGAACCAGCCAAGUCGCGUGAGGGAAGACGGCCCUACGGGUUGUAAACCUCUUUUGUCAGGGAGCAAGGUGCAGGUCGGGACCUGCUGUGAGAGUACCUGAAGAAAAAGCAUCGGCUAACUCCGUGCCAGCAGCCGCGGUAAUACGGAGGAUGCGAGCGUUAUCCGGAUUUAUUGGGUUUAAAGGGUGCGUAGGCGGGCAUUUAAGCCGGCGGUCAAAUGUCGGGGCUCAACCCCGGCCUGCCGUCGGAACUGGGUGCCUUGAGUGGGCGAGAAGUAUGCGGAAUGCGUGGUGUAGCGGUGAAAUGCAUAGAUAUCACGCAGAACCCCGAUUGCGAAGGCAGCAUACCGGCGCCCUACUGACGCUGAGGCACGAAAGUGCGGGUAUCGAACAGGAUUAGAUACCCCGGUAG
rnacentral:rRNA from 1 species